rnacentral:tRNA from 1 species
GGGGAAUUGGCGAAGUUGGGAUCGCGCUUGACUGGCAGUCAAGAGAUCAGGGGUUCGAACCCCCUAUUCUCCACCA